ensembl:lncRNA
GCAUCUUCUUAAAAGUAAACUAGUUAUAAGUGACUGAACCAAAGAGAACAGAUUACAAAAGAAAAACAGGAUAGGAUGGAUCAUGAUAUCAAUGGGGUUCAUGUGUUGACAUCUUGUGCUGCUGAGAUUACCUGCUCCUCAGAAAAGUGAAAGAAUUAAAGCAAGGAUCUGCUACAUUCACAGUCUGUUUAGGGAAGAUAUAGAUUUUCUCUGCUUUGGAGUUCCAGAGGACAAAACUCAGAGACCAGAGAUAAAGGGGAUUGGUUUGCCAAUCACAGAAGCUGUAGAGCGCGUCUGUGAGUAUAUGAAACAGAGAAAAAGUAAAAUAGAAAGCUAACAAAAAUGAACGAUUCACUUUUUGAAUGUAUUUCACAGUACUUUGUAAUGAUUACAUACACAAUGAUGUGGGCUUAAUUAUUUUGAAAUAUUAUCAGUGUUGUUUCUAUGAAUUUUAACUAAUUUUCUCAGAAAAAAAUAUGUAUUUAGCCCAUUUCAACUUGAUUCUAUAAACAAAUGAGAAGGAACAGAAAGCAAAGCUUAAAAAGACACAAAUACAUGAAAGGCUGGUCAGAAUAACAGAUCAAAACAGAAUGAUCAUUAAUUCAAAGUUUUCUGAUGAUGAAACCAAUGUUGGGAUCUCCAGAAUAACUAAAUCAGAUUCGUCAGUGCAGAUAUUUAGGGAUCUAAAUAUUUAGCAACCUUUCAUAAACUGAUUCUUACAAUUACACAAGUUUAGAAAAUGACCCUUAGAUCUUGGCACUUGGGAGAUGGUUCUUUGGGCACAGUUCAGAGACAGUUUCACAACUGGAUCGAAACUAUUCAUUGAGUUUUUCAUUUGAUAAAAUCACAAAAUAUAGGUAAACAAUUAGGAGCUCAAGUCAAUACUGAAACAAAUAGCACACUACAAGAUUAAGAAACAGUAUGAAAGCCUGGUGAGGAAGCACUAAUAUCUUCCUCUUAUGUCCAUACUGAGGCACUGCGGGAAUGAGUAACAGGAGAAUCCCAUACCGACCUCAGCCCAAGACAAGUAGUCAGACCCAGCUCUAUUUGCAGUAAAUGCACUUCAUAGACUGUUUUUAAAGAAAAGAUUCAAUAAAAAUAACAAUAAUAGUAUCAAGAGUAAAUAUAAAUCCAGAAGGGUGGAUCCACUAUCUGAGAAAGCAACAUUGACAAACAGCUACAAGGAUCUAGGGGAGGACCCUUUAACACCCAGGGUGGAAGGAAGUGCUCUUGAUUUCUAUGGAGCUGGACCUAAAUUGAAAGGAGUUGUAGUCUUAGAAGCAGAUUUUCUGAUACAAAGAUUGUCAAAUUCAUUGCUUCGUAACAUCUCAUAAAACCUGCUUUGUGUUUACUCCAAUAUUUAUGUAUGCAUGUAUGUAUGUAUGCAUUUAUUUAUUUAUUUAUGCAUUCUUUCUAUGUUUUAGAACUAGGUCUUACUCUGCUUUCCAGGCUAUUUUCAAAUAUGCUACCAACAUGCCCAUCUUCUAGUCCAAUGUUUAAAUAAAUUAUAUUAACAUCUGCAUUUGAAGAAAACUUGGGAAAUAAUGCAAACAUAUUGCACGUACUAUAUAUACACACAUAACAGAAACUUCACACGUUUAAGUUUUUCAAUACAUGAG